AUGCUUUCCACUCUUGGCAAUGCCUCAAACAGAGGUUUCCCAACCCUUUCAAUGCACACACAGACCAGCUGCUGUGGGCCCCCAGGUGUGGCACAAACCAUGCUAACCAGAGAGUCUGGAACUGACCAGUGCCGAAGACAGGUCACACCAAGCCCGUUGUGUCCUUCUCCCUUGUGGAAGCAGGCAAAGCUGCAGCUUCCUACGGCUCAGAAGACUGCAGGGAACGUUUCCAGACUCACUGCACCACAGCCUCCCUCACUUCAGAGCUGUGAUACGAAGAUAUGGAAACAAGCUCGCGUUUCGCCUUUUCUAAUUACUGCUUGGCGCUUGAGAUGUGUCUCUCACAUUUCUGGCUGCCAUGGGAAGGUGGUGAUGUGGAAGGCUGAUGUAUAUUAGAAGAGUACUGAUUGGCUCCUAGCUCCUGCUGGCUCUGCUCCUCUGUCAGGCCUGCAGUACACCCUGAUUUUCUGUAGAUGUUGCUGCAUGCCUGCAGUCUCCCAGCACAGCUCUCACAGAGGGAAGCCUGCAAGUCCAUUGCAUCCCCUGAAGGGUGCACCCUCAAGAGUGAGCCCUGGGGCCAGCACUGCGUGUACUCCUGGGUGACCUGAGAGGGGAUACCUCUGACCUCAGAUGCUGUAGCUCUGCAAAGUAAUCUGCCGAGUUCCCAGCUGAAAUUCAUGAUGUGCAAGCCCACGCGCUCCCACUGACAGGUCCUGCCCUGCGGAUAUUGCUGGAAGCCAGGUUAGAGAUUGAUGUGACUGCUUGAGAUAGGGUAGGAAGGAUUCAGCUGGGUCCAGGAACCCAGAGUAAAUCCCAGCAGAUAGGAAAUACUCCUUGUGACAGAUGCAAGACCUUAGUAGCAAGGAUCCUUCAAAGGCAAUCACCCUGAGAUAUGACCUGUGCCAGGCUCACACACACAGCCACUGGAGAAGCUCCUGCAUCAGCGCUCCCCGUGUCAUGCAUCAUUGGGCUUCUUAGCCCGAUGAGGUGGACAGGAAGGACAUGGGCAGCAAGAUGAUGGUGAGGAUCUGUUCUGCUGACAGCUUUUCUCUCUCCUAUCACCUGCAGCAAGCAAUGGGGAUGAGGACUCUACCUCCUUCUUUCCCCAUGCUCUUCCCACCUAAGCCCACCUUGUUUAAUUAAUACAGGUCUCUGAUCUGUGAACACAGAAGUUUCUCAUGGGGGAAAUUACUUGCUCUGAUUUAAGAAACCAGACAAAGAAAGGUGACGAUGAAUUGGAAGAAACAGCCCUGACUGAAAUCCACAUAGCCAGAGCUGGAAGAGCGGAGUGCACUGGGAUCUGCUGGGGCUGAACAACAUUACAAGAGAGGCUUAGCACGAGGGUUUGACUUGUGUGUUUGUAUGUGGUGCUGCUUUUCAACAUUUAUGUCCUGAAAUACAAGGUACAGUGCUUUGGGAAAGCUGUCACAUCACUGCUUGUCAUCGCCACGGAGCAGGGACAGAGCUGUGAGUGCUGAGCUAAUGGUGCUCAGAGUGCUCUGAGACAGGUGCCAGGGGAUGCCACGUUCAGCAUGUGGGAUGUGCAUUGCCUUUUAGGAUUUGCAGGUUUUCUGGACUCAAACAUCACCCUGCAGCUUCAUCUUUCACAGAGGAGACCUCAACAGCUAUGUACUCUUCUCUCUUGAAAUGCUGGGCACAGGCUGCUCAGCAGGUUCUUGUCUCCAGGGCUGGGGGAGAUCCCUGUGCCAGUCUACCAGAAUUCCAGCUGGGCCGAGACCAGGGCACACUGAUGGAACAGUGCUGGGCCCCUGUGCUUUCAGCACUCUCUACAUCCCUGCUUCUCUAGUUGGCUUACUACUGCUUGGGAAUAGAAAACAAAGGCCACCAGAAGAGCGCAUCAAAGAGCAGAGGAGAAAUGCCCAGCUGUCUCUUCUGUACCUCAAAGAUUUAGAAAACCAGCACCUUAAAGCACAGUUGGAGAAAGGGAGAUAGACGGGUGAGCACAUCAGUAGCAGAGAGGUGGAGGUAGACAUUCAGACCAUCCAUGAGCAUGGAUGGGAUGAGGUGGCUGCCCAACAGGAUGGAGAUGCUUUCUGUAGGGCAGUUCCCUGGAUACUCUGGGAAGUGACAGCUCAGCUGGUGAGGUGAGGAGGAGGAUGAGGAGCAUCCCAGGCACCAUGUUGGGUAGGAAGGGACUGGGCAGAAAAGUGGUUGAAUUGGAUUUUGUUUUGAAGAACACCUUAGGACCUGAAAAUCCUGCUCAGAAAUCUGCUUUGUCAAAGGCCAGCCCACCCUCCCCAACUCUGCUCCCUUCCGUUUCUUUGUGCUUCUGAGCAAUCUGCUCCUACACAUGUUAAGGAGCACUUAGUGAGUGACUAAAACAAAGCCGCAGAAAAGAAAUAACCUAAGGAUUUAAUAAACUGCAAACGAAAUUAUAUAAAAAAU
ensembl:lncRNA